rnacentral:rRNA from 1 species
GACGAACGCUGGCGGCGUGCCUAAUACAUGCAAGUCGAGCGAAGUUUUUCUGGUGCUUGCACUUGAAAAACUUAGCGGCGAACGGGUGAGUAACACGUAAAGAACCUGCCUCAUAGACUGGGACAACUAUUGGAAACGAUAGCUAAUACCGGAUAACAGUAUUUCUCGCAUGAGAGAUAUUUAAAAGUUGGUUAUGCUAACACUAUGAGAUGGCUUUGCGGUGCAUUAGCUAGUUGGUGGGGUAAAGGCCCACCAAGGCGACGAUGCAUAGCCGACCUGAGAGGGUGAUCGGCCACACUGGGACUGAGACACGGCCCAGACUCCUACGGGAGGCAGCAGUAGGGAAUCUUCCGCAAUGGGCGAAAGCCUGACGGAGCAACGCCGCGUGAGUGAAGAAGGAUUUCGGUUCGUAAAGCUCUGUUGUUAGGGAAGAAUGGAUAUGUAGUAACUAUACAUGUAAGAGACGGUACCUAACCAGAAAGCCACGGCUAACUACGUG